AUAUUCCUUACAUUUCAAAUAAUUUUGAAAAAUUCUUAUUUCGUCGUUUCAUCUGUUAAACAUAAAAUAUUAAAAUAUGAUUCUCUAUCAGCUGAUGUUAUUAAAGAAUAGAUAAAACUUCAAAUACCACCCCUAUUGUUUCACACUUUCUCACUUUAGUACCCUAUGAUUUAAAGUGAAUCAAUUUAGUGCCCUGUGGUUUCAUUUUUGUCUUUUUAUUAUUAGUUCCACUAUUUUUUUCGUUAAAUCAGUGACAAAGUUAAAAUUAAAGAAUACUAAAGUGAAUAUUCGAUAAAUCUAGGUGGAGUAUUUAAAAUUUUUUGUAUAUAGUUUAACGAAAUAUUAACGGAAAAGCUGAUGAAAAGAUAAAAAUAAAAUCACAGAACACUAACUUGAUACACUUUAAACUACAGCAUAUUAAAGUGAGAAAGUGUGAAACCACAGGGGUGAUAUUUGAAGUUUACCCUAAAGAACAAUAGUUUUUUUGUAUUAUUUAAUAGUUUGAGUCAUACCAGACUCCUAGUAUUAUUGAUUUUCUAUUAAUUUUUUUAAUUUUUUUUCUUUUUCCUCAAAAAA
rnacentral:lncRNA from 1 species